AUACGGAGGGUGCAAGCGUUAAUCGGAAUUACUGGGCGUAAAGAGUACGUAGGUGGUUUGUUAAGUCAGAUGUGAAAGCCCAGGGCUCAACCUUGGAACUGCAUUUGAAACUGGCAAACUAGAGUAUGGUAGAGGGGGGUAGAAUUCAUAGUGUAGCGGUGAAAUGCGUAGAUAUUAUGAGGAAUACCAGUGGCGAAGGCGGCCCCCUGGACCAAUACUGACACUGAGGUACGAAAGCGUGGGUAGCGAACAGGAUUAGAUACCCUAGUAGUCC
rnacentral:rRNA from 1 species